CACGUCAAGCAAUGGAUAACUUACGUGCAUCAGAUGUUUACAUUUAACUAAAUAAUAACUUUAAGAAAUAAUAAAUCAAAGUGAAAAUACAUAUCACUUAAUCAUGAUUAAGUAUUAAAAAGUGUAUAUGCGAGAGUUAUAUUUUACAUUUAUUGGCUUGGUGUAAACACUACAUGUAUUUUCCUAUAGAAACGAACAAUAUUUGCAUAUAAUGUUCAACUUUGUCUAGAAAAGAAUAUUUAUGAUCCAAUUUUCUUAAGUCCAUGCCACCUUCUGCACUAUCUGUUGAUUUUAAAAUUAGAUCAGUUACUUUCAGCUAUAGGCCAAUUCAGGGGACGCGGCGUAAUUGCUGGUUAAAGUUAACUGGAAAUCUAUAUUCCAUAGAUUCUUCAUUUCCCUUUAUGCACUUGAAAGGGUAUGUUUAGAGUGGGUGUUUUUUGGAUACGCUACAGUAAAACUUAGGAAAAACACAUACUGCAUACAGUACUUUUGUUGGUUUAAUCAUUCAGUACUCGGAAUUCAUUAAAGGGGGAAACUCUCCCCUUUUCCAGUGCUAAAACUCAAAACUUCUAAUUAAAGGUAGAGGGAUUCCGUUCAUCCCACCACACCCUUCACUUAAUAUUUACACGCAUCCUAAAUUGAUGUAACAAGGCUGGGAAUUCGUUUUUCUGCAUAUAGGGGAAAUGAUACUUCUACCCGGUAUGCUCACUGGCUCUUGUAGUGUUAUGGAGAUGUUGAGGUUUAUCCAUAAUUGUACAAGUAUUGGAAUAUUGUGUUUUGAAAUGAGAAUUAUUGAGAUAAAGAAGAUAGCAAGAAAUAUUCGUAUGGCAAUAGGUCAAAUAGAGAAGAUAAUGAGAUGCUUUUAUUCUUUAAUCACGAGGGGUUGACUUGUGUCUUCAGAUGGACACAAAGAUUAUAAUGAGUCUCUGUUAUGAAUCAAAAGAAGCUGGUUUUGCCACUCAUAUAUAUCAAGAGCCAAGAUAUCAAGGUCCCACUAAAUUCCCUUUUUCUAUUCUGUAACAAGAGUAUUUAUUUUUGCCUAUAAAUAGGCUGCUCUAAAUCACUCAAUUUGUCAAUCAAAACACAUUUAAUUAAAGAUUCUUCAGGGCCCUUAUUGCUGCCUCUCCCUCAAGGGCUUCUCUCCUGCAUGCUUAUAUGUUGGGAAAGAAGCUCUAGCAGGGAGAGCCAAUAACAAGUGUCUUGUUUAACAACUUAUGUUGCUCUUCACAGUUCACAGGACAGUCUUUUUUCACUCUCCCUCAAAGGCUUCUGGCUUAAAAUGCCUUUUGUGCUAAUGCUAGAGGUCUUUCGAGUGAGAGUGAAUAAAUUCUGCCAUGAUAUAUAUAAUUGCAGAAUUAUGACUCAACAAAGAAACUGUUCUUCUUCAGGGCUCACGUGAACCUAAUAGCCUUAUAUAUGUAUUAAGAAAUUUAUUAAAUAUCUAUUAGUUACAGUAAUAUUUGACUGUGAAAUUCACCUCUUUUCUUUUGCCUUCUGAUUCCUAUGCAGUUAAGGUGGAUCAACGCUGUACAAUUGGCGGAAAAGUGCUCUACGAUCACGAUCAAGAGAGAGAGGAAUGAGGAUCUAGUUUUAACCCUGAAUUUUUUUAUCUUAAGGCUUAACUGAGUAAAGCUGGAGCAGAUGUAAUUUUGUCUGCACUAACUGCCUUUGCAAGUGAUUCGCUGACUUUAAAUCCUGAAUCUGCCUUUAGAGUCGGAAGUGGCUGGUCGUAUUCCUUCUUCCUUGGUGUAUGUUGAUCUCUUCUCUCUGGUGGUAGCUAUUCAACAUCUCCACAGAAUUGUAAUGUGUUUCAUAAUGAGGAGGCAUUGCAUAAAGAUUUGGUUUUGGAAGACAAAUUGGCUCCAAUAGAAUCGAACACAUACAGAAAAUUCAAAUAAUUAAAUAACUAGAUUUGGAAUUGAGAUGUAGUUGGCUAAUGAUUUUCUAGAGGAAUAAAAAAAUA
rnacentral:lncRNA from 1 species